UGGCAAGAGGGUAGGACAGAGUCUGCCUGAGGCACCCGGCCAAAUCUGUGCAGGAAAGGCAUCAGAGGGCAAUGCAUCCCGCUUACCUUUGUAGGGGAUGAAUCAUUUUCUAGAGGUGUUAUUCCUCUGUGUAGAUUUGACAGGGUGCCUGGACAACAGGCUGAGAUUUGGACACCCACUUUCAAAAGUCUUUGGAGAGAUCAGAUGAAUCCCCUUGUAAAAGUCUGGAGAAUUAAUCAAGAAUGAGACCUCUCCGCUAGGUUUCAUAAUCUGCUCAAGGACACUUGGCAGGCAUCAUAUCAUUAUUUCUUGACUUUGACAGGAUAUGUGAAGUACAGAAGAGAGGAUAUUUGCUAGCUGAGUCUCCAGGAAUUUCCACCUGUUCUUCUCCAUGGUGUGAGCCAGAGACUUUGGUCUGGGCACAUCUUGUUAGUAUUCGGGGUCAGAGAAAGGAUGGAACAUUUGACCAGAGAAGUUUUCCUCCUUGGAGACCUCCAAAAGGUGCCUGGAUGUGGUCCUGGACACCCAUCUCUGGAUGGUGCUGCUUGUGCAAGGGGCUUAGACCAGAUGACCUCCAGAUGACUUCCAUCCUCAGCCAUUCUAUUAUUCUGCAUUUGCCAGAUUGCUGCUGUGCGUUGUUCAGAUCGCAGGCCUGCAGAGCAGGAAAGAGUAUUUUAGGAAACGAUUUGCAUUUGAAUACCUGUGUCUCCUUUCUCACCGAAGAUAUUAAUGAAGACAUCCGCAUCUGUUCCACUGCCGCUGACUUCACCCGUGAACACUCGGACCACGUAUUUGUUGACUGCAAGGAGAGAGGCAGAAAUCCCAACUCAUUAAUAGCUGAAUGGUUAAAAAAAGUAAUAGUACAAAUCAAUUCAGGCUGUGCUGUGCUAUCUUGAGAGCACAUCUGAACCACUGCUCCUGGAUCCUUUACACUGACCCUCAAACCCUUUUUUCUCUUUUUCACAAGAGAAAUAAAAUCCACAGACAGAGACCCUGUCAAUGACAUUGUCUAUGGACAGAUAUGCAGAGCUCUGGUACUUUGGGUGUUCACUGCCCAUGGCAAUAGACAGAGAUCACUCAAUUUCAAGCCCUGACACGGCCUUUUUUCCCCAAAAAGUUGAAAUAGGUGAGAGGAAGGUGCAAAUUUUGAUGUUGAUCCGUGGCCAUUAAGUGACCUCAGACCUACACACAGUCAUUGCUUUUUCAAAAACAU